rnacentral:rRNA from 1 species
GACGAACGCUGGCGGCGUGCCUAAUACCUGCAAGUAGAACGCAGUUGCGAACGGGUGAGUAACGCGUAGGAAACUGCCUGGUAGCGGGGGAUAACUCUUGGAAACGAUAGCUAAUACUGCAUACUAACAGAUGGCCCUGCGUUGUAUUAGCUAGUUGGUGGGGUAACGGCUCACCAAGACAACGAUACAUAGCCGACCUGAGAGGGGGAGCGGCGACACGGGGACUGAGACACGACCCAGACUCCAACGGGAGGCAGCAGUAGGGAAUCUUCGGCAAUGGACGGAAGUCUGACCGAGCAACGCAGCGGGAGUGAGGAAGGUUUUCGGAUCGUAAAGCUCUGUUGUAAGAGAAGCGGUAUCUUACCAGAAAGGGACGGCGAACUACGUGCCAGCAGCCGCGGUAAUAC